UUUUACACACCUUUUAUCUAAUAUCAAUUACCAAUGAGAACUUGUUUUCCGUCGCCCCUUCGGUAGAAUGAAUGGGAAUCAGAUUCCAGGUAGUGAAUGGGCCCUCGCGGGCAGCCUGGCUGUACAUACUGCUUUCUCUAAUGUCUCUCUCUCCUUCACGGGAGAGAGGGAGAGAGGAAAGAGCGACCAUUGCAUCUAUGUCAUAAGAAGGGCUCCCCCUCUAGGAAUUUACGAAUUCCUAGAAAGUUCUGCUAUCAAAGUCUCCAUUCAUGAAUGCGAUAGCAGGGCUCAACCAUGUGUAACCAAUUCUAACCAAUUUCACCCCCUUUUUUGCUAGUUGACUUUAUAUGUGUAUACGUUUGUGUUUUCCUUCAUUGGGAACACACGGGUGUCACACGUUUGAUUCUAUUUGAACGUUAAAAAAAUACAACUCUUAGCAAUGGAUAUCUUGGUUCUCGCAACGAUGAAGAACGCAGCGAAAUGCGAUACGUAAUGUGAAUUGCAGGACUCAGUGAAUCAUCAAAUCUUUGAACGCAAAUUGCGCUCUUGGGUAGCCCUAGGAGCACGCCUCUCUCAGUAUCGGUUCAACCCCUUCUCAGCCGCGUGUGUGUGUGUGUGAAAGCACAGAUGCGCGUCGGCUGGAGAAUGAGAGUCUGCUUGGUUUUUCUUUUCAAGCAGUCUCUUUAAAUACAUCGAGUGAACAUAUGACUACCAAUCAGUUCCUUUCUUAAUUUCAUUAUGAGGAAAGGAUAGUUGACAUCUUCGGCUGUCAGGGGAUUGUAGUGACGUAGAUACUGGCCUUCAUUGGUCUCUUUUCUUACGUGUAACUAGAAUGUCUCCCUGACAACUAUGCCUGGGAUGCCUGAUGAACGAUUGUUUGUGUGUGGA
rnacentral:rRNA from 1 species